rnacentral:rRNA from 1 species
UGCCCACUGAUAUAAAUAUUAAAGGGCUGCAGUAAUUUGACUGUACAAAGGUAGCAUAAUCAUUAGUCAUUUAAUUGAUGACUUGAAUGAAGGAUUGGAUGAAAUAUAAACUGUCUUUAUAAUAUUAUAUAGAAUUUAAUUUUUUAAUUAAAAAGUUAAAAUAAAUAAAAAAGACGAGAAGACCCUAUAGAGUUUUAUUAUUGAAUAAAUUAAUAUUAUUUAUAAAUUAAUAGAUUAAAAUUAAAUUAAUAAUUUUGUUGGGGUGAUAAAAAAAUUAAAUAAACUUUUUUAAUAACAAGAACAUGAAUAAGUGAUUUAUUGAUCCAUUAAUGAUGAUUAAAAGAGAAAAUUACCUUAGGGAUAACAGCGUAAUUUUUUUUUUUAGUUCAGAUAAAAAAAAAAGUUUGCGACCUCGAUGUUGGAUUAAAAUAAAAUUUAAAUGUAAAAGUUUAACAAUUUUGA